CGAGCUUCGCCUUGCGCGUGGUUCGACAUACGUGGCUGGACCAACACUUAGUGAAUGGGAGCUCUACAUCUCGCGGUGGAAAGGUAUCCCGAAAGGGAAGCUGGAAGCGGCGGUGCGGGCACCCACCUGUUUAGGCAGGGAUUCACCCGGUCGGCCACGGCAAGGCGGGGUUCAU
rnacentral:other from 1 species